rnacentral:rRNA from 1 species
UACACGCAUGACACACUGCAUAUCAAUAAGCGGAGGAAAAGAAACUAACUAGGAUUCCCUCAGUAACGGCGAGUGAAGCGGGAAGAGCUCAAAUUUGAAAUCUUCAAGGUUCUACCUUGACGAAUUGUAGUUUAAAGAAGUGUUUUCUGUUGGAGUUUUGGUAAAAGUUCUUUGGAAUAGGACAUCAUAGAGGGUGAGAAUCCCGUAUUUGACCAUUAUUUCCAACUUUGUGAUACACUUUCAAAGAGUCGGAUUGUUUGGGAAUGCAGUCCAAAAUGGGUGGUAAAUUUCAUCUAAAGCUAAAUACUGGCGAGAGACCGAUAGCGAACAAGUACCGUGAGGGAAAGAUGAAAAGAACUUUGAAAAGAGAGUUAAACAGUACGUGAAAUUGUCAAAAGGGAAGCGUUUGACACCAGUGUUGUUUUCUCGAAAAUCAAUUAAAAAUGAUGGGAUUUUGUGUUGUAUUGACUUUAUCAGCUUUCUGCACUUUUUUCUUAUCUUUUUUAAUGCACUUUUCGUUUAACAAGUCAACAUCAAUUUCUUUUGUUGUAAAAGGGUCAUUGGAAGGUGGCUUUCUUUUCGGAGAAAGUGUUUAUAGCCUUUGGCCUCUGCAGUCGGAGAGAUUGAGGUCUGCAGCGUAGAUCCUUCGGGGUUAGAUACAUUUGUGCUAAGUUAUAGCCUUUCAUAGACAACUUGUUGACUAUGAUUAGUCAUUGUAGCUUACUCGCUUAUGCUAUUUUACCUACGCUUAGGAUGUUGAGCGCAUGUCUCUCUCU